GACAUACCACUUGUUGCCUCGGCGGAUCAGCCCGCUCCCGGUAAAACGGGACGGCCCGCCAGAGGACCCCUAAACUCUGUUUCUAUAUGUAACUUCUGAGUAAAACCAUAAAUAAAUCAAAACUUUCAACAACGGAUCUCUUGGUUCUGGCAUCGAUGAAGAACGCAGCAAAAUGCGAUAAGUAAUGUGAAUUGCAGAAUUCAGUGAAUCAUCGAAUCUUUGAACGCACAUUGCGCCCGCCAGUAUUCUGGCGGGCAUGCCUGUUCGAGCGUCAUUUCAACCCUCAAGCCCUCGGGUUUGGUGUUGGGGAUCGGCGAGCCCUUGCGGCAAGCCGGCCCCGAAAUCUAGUGGCGGUCUCGCUGCAGCCUCCAUUGCGUAGUAGUAAAACCCUCGCAACUGGAACGCGGCGCGGCCAAGCCGUUAAACCCCCAACUUCUGAAUGUUGACCUCGGAUCAGGUAGGAAUACCCGCUGAACUUAAGCAUAUC
rnacentral:rRNA from 1 species